GGUGGUGGUAGACCUACUAACAAAGAUGUGCCACUUUGUAGCUUGCUCGCAUGCAGUCACGGCGGAAGAGACAGCGAAGUUAUUUGUAGAAAACAUUUUUAGGUUGCACGGGGUGCCAUUGAGGGUGGUCUCAGACCGAGGAAAACAAUUUACUUCCAGGUUCUGGAGGAAGCUCAUGAGCUUACUGCAGGUGGAGGUCAAUUUUUCGACUGCCCGGCACCCUGAAACCAACGGGCAGGCGGAAAGAGCAAACGGUGUCCUCCAGCAAUACCUGAGGUGUUAUGUCAAUGACAGAGAGAAUGACUGGGUAGAAAAGUUGGCGCUGGCGGAAUUUGCCUACAACAAUGCCGAGAAUGUGUCCACAGGGAUGAGCCCCUUCUUGGCUAAUUAUGGGUGUCAUCCCAGGGCUUUCCCAGGGGGAGAGGGGGAGAGAUGGAGCGUCCCGGCAGCCGAGCAUUUUGUGGAAGAAAUGGAAGCAAUCCAUCGUCAGCUCCAACUCAACUUAGAAAGGGCGAAGGAAGAAUACAAGAGGCAGGCAGACAAGAACCGAAGGGAAGGUGAAACCAUAAGGGUGGGAGAUAGGGUGUGGCUGUCAACCCAAGGGUUGCCGUUCAAAGGAGGUUGUAAGAAAUUAAGACCCAGGAGGUUGGGUCCCUUUGAGGUCAUUCAACAGGUCAACCCAGUGGCUUUCAGGCUCCGGUUACCCAACCACAUGAAACUGCACCCAGUAUUUCACAGGUCGUUACUGUCACCGUACGAAGGGGGACGAGAAGGGCUGGCCACUCGGGGACCGGUCGUAGAAGAAAGAGAAUGCAGCAGCCAUGUGGCAGAAAUCCUCGACGCCAGGUGGAAGGGGGAUCAGGUGGAGUAUUUGGUAGCGUGGGAAGGAGAACCGGAGUCAGAAAACACUUGGGUAAUGGCUGAAGAUAUCAAUGACGAGGUAUUGAUAGAAACGUUCCAUCAAAGGUUCCCAAGGAAACCUCAGCCUGUGGAGAGGUUCCGGAGGGAAUACUUUGGGACCACUGAUGAAGGGGAGGAGUUGGAAGGAUUCCCGGACUCGGAAGGGGAAGGGAGAUGGACUCUGAGGAGGAGGUGUACUUCGAGACCAGGAACCGCAACAGGUUGAGAGAAGUGUUCGAGACAUCGGAAGAUGAAGGAAGUUCAUUCCGGGGUUUUGCCUCCUCACCGCCCGUAGAGGAGGGGGCGAGAGGGGGUGAAGGGGGCCCUGGAGGGGAGGUGGAUGUCAGGGAACUGCCAUCGGACGGAAGGGAGGUGAAAGGGCUCACACAGGUUGGGAGAGACGCAGCAGCUGAAGAGGAAACCAACAGGGAGGUGAAAGGGCUCACACAGGUUGGGAGAGACGCAGCAGCUGAUGAGGGAACCAGCAGGGGAGAGGAGCUGAGCUGGAGGGAUGGCUCAGAGACACUUCCAGCGAAAACAGUGGAGAGGUUUCAGGACCUCCUGUAAGAACACCCACUCCUCGCCGGAAACUGUCACGCAGAGAUUCCAGAAGACGUGUUUCCGUUAAGGAGCUUUUAUGUUGGAAGCGAUUACGAAAGCAACCACUGUCGGAAUCUGCUAGUGACUAGAGUAGCCAUGUCUGAGGGGCUCUGUCACAGACAGAGGUUUGUGGACUUGAACAAACUCUGAGGGGAUACGAUUUUACGCACAAGCAGCUCAUCAUCCCAUCACAG